rnacentral:rRNA from 1 species
GUGAGGAAUUUUCCGCAAUGGGCGAAAGCCUGACGGAGCAAUGCCGCGUGAAGGAUGAAGGCCUAUGGGUUGUAAACUUCUUUUCUCAGAAAAGAAUUAUGACGGUAUCUGAGGAAUAAGCAUCGGCUAACUCUGUGCCAGCAGCCGCGGUAAGACGGAGGAGGCUAGCGUUGUUCGGAAUUACUGGGCGUAAAGCGUGCGCAGGUUGUGAGUUAAGUCUGAUGUGAAAGCCCGGGGCUCAACCUCGGAUGUGCAUUAGAUACUGGCUCGCUGGAGGUUGGAAGAGGAGAGUGGAAUUCCCAGUGUAGAGGUGAAAUUCGUAGAUAUUGGGAAGAACACCAGUGGCGAAGGCGGCUCUCUGGUCCACACCUGACACUCAUGCACGAAAGCGUGGGGAGCAAACAGGAUUAGAUACCCCUGUAGUCC